CUUGUUACCCAGCUCUGUAUCUGGUCUAGGAUUGUCAGAAACCUAAGGCGGAAACUGGCCGUAAGAUGGUAUCAAUUGCAAUCUUAACUAAAAUUUCGUUUCUUGUUGCAGAGUUCCUCUAGAAUCACACAAGCACCUUCUCCGUGUGUCUCAAGGAGCACGGGAACUCCUUCUCCUCUUUCUCCGAUGCCUUCGCCAGCCAGUUCUGUAAGCUCCCAGACAGGCUCCAGCGGCAGCAGCGGUGGCGGCGGCAACCUGAGCUCUUCCAUCAGCGUUCCUCAUCACAUCCCAACCAUCACCUCUUCCUUCGUCAACAUCACUUCCAAUAUUCUCCACGCCUUUGAUCUCUGGGAACGAGCUGACAUUUUGGCCAGGAAGAAUAAGAAGUUUUUUUGCGAGCUCAGUGCCACCGUGUGUGCUCUCUCGUUGAGCAGCAGUAUGACGGAACUGGUACCCUACACCCGUCAGGGUUUACAGCGGCUGAAACUGGAACCAAAUACACCUUAACCGGUGCUUCAAGGCGGGGACCUAGCCUUGGACUCGUUUGCACUUUGGAAGUCUCCGAAACAGCCUCGUCGGAUGCAGAAAUGCAGAAAGUACUGGGAAGGCGAUAUGAAGCAGGGCGAAAGGGAACUUGGUGACACUGGAAAACUUUAAGGACUCUUUGCGAUGCGAAUGGGCCGCCUGGAAGACGGAAAGCGGAGAAGAGGCCUCCGAAGCAGAGGAUGCCCGCCUUGCUUUCCUUCAAAGGACAAAGUGCAAUGUUCUCGUUUUCUUUUUCCUUUCUUUUUUGCCCCCCCCCCUUUCGUCGUUCAACGUGUCAAUGGUCUAUAAACAUUUCUACAAACGAGUAACCAGCAGGAUGAAAAGAAAAUAAUUCAUCGACCCUGAAGAAGUGCCAGAGAAAGGAAAUCCACCUCACAAAGAAAUGCCUGCAAGACCACAGAAAAGGGCAGCGAUGCUCACAGGCCCAGCAGAUUGUUCAAGGUUACCCCCUCCCUCCCCCCCCCCCACGCCCCUUCCCAGUUUUUAAAAGUGCAAACCGGAAUUGCAAUCUGUAGCACAUGAUUUUGUCCCUGGAGUGUAGGACGGGUGGAAAUCCCUCUCCGACAGCCCCCUUUGGCACCCUGCAAACUGGUGUCGCUCUCUUCCUUGGCCCCAUUUGCCUGCCAUACCCAUCUGUUGCACUAGUACCUCCUUUCCUUGAUGGGGCACUGGAUUCUCUCGCAGGCCCCCAACAUUCUGGCUUCCUCCCUUUCUACCUUGUCUGUGCACCGCUCUCGGCUGCCAUGUUGCCUGUUCGUGUGGCGUGCCAUUUUAUGAGAGAACCCAGGAUUCCGGGGCUGUCUCGCCAGAAACCAGUGGGAGUAGAUCUGUGAUCCUAGAUGUCCUUUUGCCCCAUCGAAUGGCACGAACGGGGCAGGGUGUGGGCUGGCUCACCCCCCCUUUCCAGUUUGUUGAGCAGUACUGCACUAAUGCAUUGAAAUGGAAUUGCUUGAAGUGGCUGGACUUUACUAUGUGAUACUUCCUCUUAGAAACACUGCCUGAGAUUCCCCUUUAGUCUCAAAAGAGGUCUGGCGAAGCAUGCACAGUUAAGGGAGUGUGGAAGGGUCUUUUUUUUGCACAGGAAGCCACUGGUGAGGGGUCUUUGUUGAUAUCAGAGGUGAGACUGUCAGAGAAUUAGGAAGGCUUUUUGAUAGUGUGACACUUAAAUGUUCCCUUUUUAAUCCUUACUGGUGGGGUUGCCAGUGUUCCGGAGUACCACCAUCAGGGACCUGACCAGGCUAUUUCCAAGUCCCUGUUUUCCAGUUGUCCCCUGAGCUGGAGGACAUCUUGUAUGGGUGGUUCCCAUUGUCCCACCGGGGAGGCAGGAAAUGACUUUUUUCCUCUUCCUGUUGGGAGGAACCGCCCCCAGGACCUCAGUUUUCCUUAAACUGGGAGACAUCUCAUUUCAUCUUCUCUGAAACCCUCAGUUCAAAUAAUUGCCUUCAGCUGUUGAAGCACAACUCUCAUUUAUGACACUGGCGCGGUACCCCUGACCACAAUUUUUGGCACUGGUGACCCAUCUCCCCUCUCCACAAGAGGUGGCCUUUUCCAACAGAGUAAUUAAUUUGCUCUUUAGGUAAAUCCCUCAGACUCCUCAUAAAGAAAGUAAACAGCAAUCGUCUUAGACUUGCCGAGCCAGUUUGCUUAAUGCGCAGAUGAGUUGUACGAAAAAUUGUAAUAGAGAAGACCCCCCCCCUCAGGGAUUUAACACUUUCCUGUCUCUCCCCCACACUCUCUUUCCUAUUCAAGGCCCCUAAUUUUUUUCCCCACUCUCCUUUCAAACGGCGUGCCUUAACUCUCCCGUUUGCUUCUGUCACUACCUUGAGGACAGACCAAUGGGAAUGAAUAUCUUCCAACAAAAUUAUUUGUGAAGGUGUGUCCAUUUUUUUCCCUGCUUAUUGCUUAAGUGUUACGGAGGCGGUCGUUUCUGUAUGUUUGUCUGAAAGUAGACCUCUUUCAGUAGGCGAGGUGAAAACUGUUCCUGUACGGAGGGCCAUCUGGCAUACCUGCAGGGUCAGCUGAAAAGUGAAUAAACCUCAUAACGCCUUGCUGUUCUGAGAGAGACUUCUGAGUGGGACGUGUUUCCUGUUCAGCUCUUUGGGGAAUUAUUCAGUGCAGAAAAAAGAAAAGGGCAGAAUUGGGAUAAACAGUCUGUGUCAGAGAGAAUUGAGCCUUAGUUGAUUUCAGGGAUAAGCCGCUUUUACCACUGGAAGUAGUUCCAAAAUAUUUUUUUUCUCCCUUGUUUUUUAUAUAAUGUUCCUUGGAGUGGAACUGGGCACUGGUGGAGAUCCAGAACUUGGAACCCAGGUGGUCUCUCAAAUGGUGGGGAAAGGGAUGACUUUUUCCCCCUGACUCACUAUGAUGCAGCUGAGAUGCAUCUGGAAUUGCAGGUGUGUGGGAAAGGUGAAGGUCUUCCUGUUUGCCACUUUAAAAUCAAGGCAUCCUCUUGCUUCUUAGCAGCUGAUGAGGAAAAUCAGGGUUCCUCACACCCUGGUUGUCUGCUAGGUGUCUUGUCUACCUUCACCUAUGCUGCUUCCAGUUGGAAAUUCUUACAAAAAGAAAAUCAUGUCUGUCUCAAGCACAUGUUUUGAAAAGAGGGAAGAGCUUGCCGGAUCUGAAGGGGCAUUUGCCUUUUGUGCCAAAGGGCGCAGAGCAAGAAGGUUUCUCCCGGGGAGUCCUCGGAUGCUCACUUGACUUAAAACCCUUCUGGAGUCUUAUGGCUCCUGGCUUCCCGAGAAACUAACGCUAAACUCACGUAGUCCCUCCUUUGAAAAUCAUGUUCCCCUCUCAUCCCAACCAAUGUCCCUCUUUCUCCUCAGGACUGGCCCUACCCCAGAGAGGGGCCACCAGCAUUAUCCAGAUGCUUCUGCUCUAAAUCCGCCCCCCCCUAAGAUUCAGAAUUCCCAGGUGUCAAGGGACCUGCCUUAACUUGCUUAUUAAGCACUUUAUUUGAGGAAUGGCACUAAUCAGUUAUAUCUCCGCUACUGUCAAAGCCCCCACCCCCCACCCCCAGUAAUCCAGAGUUCAUUUCUAACUGGAACUCUCAAGUCAAAAAGAAAUCCUUUAAAACACACGAAUGCUACUGUUUUUCCAGGACUUGGGGUGCGUGGGUGGGUGGGGGGUGAUGAAAAGGGUUAGUGAGGUUCUGAUUGAAAAAGCAAAGCACGUGGUUUUCCGUACCCUUUAAAUAACUACGUAUUCCAAUUCGAUUUAGCCCGUAAAGGCCAUAUGGCAAACAAAAGCCACGCUGCCUCCUUAAUUAUCAGGGAAGUUAAAACAAAUCCUCUAAUCAGAAAUGCCUGCAUUUCUGCUUUAUAUUUUUGUGCUAUUUAAAAAACCAAACAGCAGUUUCAAAGCAGCAGGCCAGACUAGGGGGAUCGCAUGUAGCCAUCUAGAGAACCUCUGACUUUUUUCUUUUUUAAAGAGUGUGAAAACGAUCAGGAGAAAUACCAUUUUAUUCCCAUUCUGGGUGCUGGUGAAACUUCCAUUGAUUUCAGCCAGGAGUUGGGCCAAGCCCUUGGUGUCAGGAGCAUGAAAUAAAAGCGUUUUUUGCCAUUUUAAACACAGGUCAAUGGAGCUGCAGGCUCAAAGCAGCCUCCUUUCCCAAAUGAUAUUUAUUUAGAAUUAUAAUUAAUGUAUUUAAAUUGUCAGAUGUUCUAUAUGUCUAAGAUGCCAUUAUUUAAUGAUUCGCAAGUUCCAUGGACACUGGAGUCAUGGCCUGAAAGUUAGAUGGAUGAUUUAUUAUUUCUAAAGAGCAGCGUCUCUUCCUCCCUCCCCCUCCUGUCUAUUGUUUCUUUAUCAAAUCUGUACAUUUAAAUUUAUUAUGGGGUGUUGUGUCUCCAUCUUGUAAAUAACGUUUAUUUUCCCCCCUGCCCUGUGCAUUGGUGGUAUUUCCAAGCCUGAUUUGUUUAAUUCAUAUGGGAUAAUAAAUAUUAAAUGAAA